rnacentral:lncRNA from 1 species
CCCCAGAGUCCACAGCAGAUGAGACAAUCAACUUUCAUUGAAUGGACUACUGAGGGGCUUGGUAAUGGAACUGAAGAAAUCUGAAUGAAUUGUCUGAUGCAUCGUGACUAAGCUUGGAAUGUGCCAACUGUCCCCCAGGAGUGGCCCUUGGACAGCAGAGCUGGAGCGCCGGGACUCUGAGUGCAGGAAGGAGGCCGUGCUCCAGGAGAGCCAUUGACAGAGCUGCUCUGGAGUUCUGGAAGUGCUUGGAGGGUGUGGGCGUUGUCACAUGAAUCUGUGGCACCAGCCUGUUGGCUUUCUGGUGAAGGGGUGGUGGCACAGUCUGCUGUCGUGCCUCUGGUGGUCCACACAACCUUCACACAACCUUCUUCAUUUCUGGUCAGCUUUGGAUACUCCCAAGCUUUGUCACUGAUCUCAUUUUGACUUACCAGGAAGCUCCACAUCUUGUUCUUUGUUAAUUUCAUGGAGGCUUGCAGGAUAACUCUCACUUUAUUUCCAUGAACGCUCCAUUUCAAGAAUGUUCAGGAAGACUUUCAUCACCUCUUUUGGGCCUCCACUUCCCUCCCACCUCCUUCCUACAUCUGUUCCUCUCUAGAGUGAAUGGUUUCAAUUUUAUCAACGUUUCUUCCUGUGGCUGUAUGUUUAGGUCCUUUCCCCAUGCUGAUCACCAAAUAUAAGAUUUAUUUAUAUCCUACCUAACAUGUACUCUUUAAAAAUCAGGUGCCCAUAAUAAUGAU